rfam:Bacillus sp. VT-16-70 Bacillus_obstructivus_contig183, whole genome shotgun sequence.
UCAAACGUGGUUCGAAACCAUCCCACGAUAAAAAACUAAGGAGAG